AUUCAUUACUGGUGGGAAUGCAAAAUGGUACAGUCACUCUGGAAGACAGUUCAGCAAUUUCCUGCAAAAUUAAACUUACUUUUAUCAUGUAAUCCAGCAACUGCACUGCUUGUUAUCUCCCUAAAUGACUUGAAAACUUAUAUUCACAUGAAAAA